ensembl:lncRNA
ACUGGAUGUAUGAUUCGUAAAACAUCGUGGUAAUGGAUUCCAUGGUUGUGAUUCCAGGUUUGAUUGUUUAUGUAACACCAGUGAAUUUGAGCACUUUCAAUUGUGUGGAACCAUGUUAGGGUAUUUAAAGUUUGAAAAGCAACCUCUAUAGAAAAACAUAACUGCAUAUGUUUCGGGAAGUAAGCUAGGUUGAAUUUGGUUAUUCAAACUUUUCCCCUGAUACGUAGACAUGCGUGCUUAAGUAGGAUUCUUCAUUCCGGGACAGAUGGAAGUUAUCUAAAAUAAGUCAAUUAAAGGAGCCAUGGGAGAAUGCGAAUGCGUAAUUAUUAAAUAUCGGGGAUUAAAUUACGGAUUUCUUACACUGAGAAAUGUACGACAUUUGCGGCAGAGGGAAAAAAGUAAUACAAUAAUGUUAUCGGGUAAAUUGUAUCCAAGGGUAGCAUGUUCAUUUAAGUAAACAUAUACAUUGACGUUGUUUAAAACUUAUGAUUAAUGAUUUUAGUUAAAGGGGAAUCAUCAUUAGGUUUAGUUUAUAGUUCACUUUUGAGUUUCUGAAUUGGAAUUAGCAUAGUGAAUGCUAGUUAGGAGAGUUGUGUUCUUCUGGGAAAUUUGAUGUUUAGGUGUCUCAGUUUUAGAGGUUUCCUGGGAUUAUAAUCUUGGGGAGAAUGAGGCCAUAAACGACCAAAUUAAAACAAGCCUGCAAGUAUAUAUACCUAAAACCAUUGUUAGGACUAUUUGUUUUAGUGCAAAGGUAUUUUAAAGAGGCAUGCUCACAUAUGGAACCUUAUGAGUUGUAAGUUUGAGUUUUAAUUAUACAAGUGAAUUUUUUUAUUUUAUGACCUAUUGAUCUUAUCAUGACUGUCUUCUGAGGUCUGAUCAGCCUCAGGGGAGAGUCAUUUGUAUAAUGAAUGUGGUCAUAUUGAGUUACUAGUUAUAAUGGAGUGUUGGUUGGGGGGUUAGAAUUAUUGUUUGAACCGCAAAUGAGAAAGUGGUUCAGGAUUCUAUUUUACAACAUUAGCUGUGAAGUUUUUUGAAUGGGCUAUUAAUGAUUUGGUAUUGUAACAGAGAAAAAGUCAUAUUUAUCAUUGAGAAUAAAUAGGGGAAGAUAAGAUAGAUUAAGCCAAUAAGGCAGGGAAUUACAUAGAAAAAUAAGUUGCAGUUUUUAGGGGUGAUAAAUUACUGUAGAUAAGGUAUUCCACACUUUGCAACACAUAUUAAAUUCAUGUUAUUGUCAGAUAGAAUACUGAGGGUCCCCGAAGGAGAGGGCUUGAUAGUGUAGGAAGGAUUUUGAUAUGAUUAGCAUUUGUUUUGAAUUUGUUUGACUAUUAGGAGUUUUUUUAAAUAGUAUUAAAUUUAACAGGAAUAUAGGACAUCUGUGAUGAUUUAGGAUUAUUGUUAGGAUUAAGAUAGGUUGAUUAAGGAAAUGUAAGGACUUUAGAGAUUGCCACUCAUAGACAUGUUUAUUCUAAAAAUCAAUGAUUUUAGAUAAAGUCAAACAGUUAGAAGCUUAGUGGUAUUUGAGAGAUAUGAGAGAAAAGGUUUAAAUUGGUAAAAAUAUAUAUUUAAGAAAAUAUAUAAGUAGCGCAGAUAGUUCAUAAAAGUAGAUAAGAAACUUGACAGGGAAUUGGUACAGGAUUGACAUGAAUGGACGCCCAAGGGAGAAUGGGACAUUCUCUGGGGACAUGGGAAAAUUAAAAGGGGCUCCUACAUGAUGAUGUCAGACAUAAGGAUAAUUUACAAAUCUUACCUAAGUCAUUGUUUAAGAAUAGGCAAGGUUGUUACCUGGGCAGAGCCAGGUAACAAAGGGGGGAUGGGUAAAUUGUGUUCUAGAAUAGGAUGUGACCUACGGGAUAAUUACCUGAUAAAAAAAAAAAAUUUAGCUAAUAAACAGAACAAAUGAGAAACUGUUUGUUAACCAAACCUGUAUGUCCAAGAUUUUAUGCACUACAGGUGAACUACAGGUGAAGUCACUCAAUCCAGUCCCAUAGACUUGUUGGGGGGACCAUACCAAGGACUCCUGGUGACAGCUAGCUGAAAGAGCUACCCGGAUUCAUAUCGCACUGCGGGAGGUUUUGUACGGACGUGGUUGAUUGCGUGUAUGUAUGAAAGUUAUUAUUUCCAGGACUCUGGAGUAAUCUAUGACAAUAGAUGAUGCGGUGUGGGACGAUUCCAGGUUCUGACCCGUGGAGGACUGAAUGCCUGACUACAGGACAAGUGGACAAAUCUGGAUCUUUCAUCAUUGUGGAAUUUAUGUUUGAUGAGACUAGUGUUGAGGAUAGAAUUAGAUUGUACUUUGUUUCAAUAUUAGACUGUUUUUUAAUAAAAAGAUUGUAACGAAAAUCCUGAAAGAAGAGUUAUGAUUCUGAUGUAGGUUUAAAAACAGUAGGAGUUAAGGUUAGAUUUGAGUAAAUAUGGGUGAAGAGCCGGAUAAACAUUUAUAAUAAUGUGUCUAUUCAUAUGAUAAUCUGAUAAACCUUUAUAAUAAGGUUAGUAUAAGUAGGUUAAUAUUUUUAUUUUUUAUGUUUAAUAAAACUAGAUGUAGAUUUGAAUGUAUAAUAUUUGAUCAAAGGGAAAUGACUAAUUAUGUAUACAUUCCAAUCAGAACUGACUAGUCCAAAUGCUAUAAUGUACUGUACAUAUGAAUAUUCUCUCUUGCUCCCAUUCCCAAUUGUAUAUAAUGUAGUCAGGAG